rnacentral:lncRNA from 1 species
GGAGUUUUUAGCCUUUUAACAUUCAAGGAUUAGGUAAGUUCUCCCCGCGGUAGACUUCAAAUACUCUUUGUCCUGCCCCUGCUUGGCGAAAUUUACCGAAAUUAUCUACCUAUCCCGCUGGAGUGGGAGCCGGGGGAGAGCUGGAACCGCGUCUCUGCUGCUCACCUUUGUGUCCUUAGCUCCUUCGCAUGGGGUCCGACCGCAACACGUGCGCUGGAUAAACGCUUGUUAACUGGGUAAAAGUCUUGCAGUGAAAAACCCGAGGACCCUUACCGCAAGUGUCUUUUGCUCCCAGCUACUGAUACUGGAUUCCACUCGUGAUUCUCCCUUUCUUAGCGCAUUCAUGAUAUAGACAUCAGUCUCUGAGCUGGAGGAGGACAAAGGCAGCGGUCCUGUGAAUUCUAUGCUCUAGCUUGGGUUAAGGGAUUUGGAAUUGCACUUGUUUCAGAGAGCUCCCUCUUUGCCCACUAGCAGGGCAUUAGCUGGUGCUGAAGACAGUGGCUGCUUGGCGAGCCUGGAUCUCCAAGUGACCCCCUCAGCAACUCCUGAUGAACAGGACUGAAGCCAAUAUUAAAGCAAGUCAACCAAAGGUUCUCUGGUGUAGACAAGACAGCAAAAGGACAGACUACCUUGUGGAACCUAGCAUUGUUCUCCUUCUGCAGCACUAAGUAACAUUUGUUCUCCGUUAAGAUCUUUGCAAACCACACACAAGAAUUGCUGGUCAUCCUGCCAAUAGAUGCUGCUCACAGAACCAAAUUUCCUGUGCUGAAUUGUCACUCAUGGGCUUGAGAGUAGGAGACUGGAGACCAAGGUGGCUAGAAUCCAGUUGGGCCUGAUGUCUCCCUGUUGAAAGGGCUCCUUGUGGAAUGAAUAGCACAUGGCUCCUGUGGUGGAUCUGAUAGUGGCAUAGCACCAAGUGAUGCAGGCCUGCCAGGGGCCACAGACACAGAAGAUGCUCCCGGGGUCCCCCAUGUACUCCAGACACACUGCAGGCCACCUCUCCCAGCAGGUUGCCAGUCAUGGGCCCCAUCAUCAUGACUUCUGUCCAAGGGACUUGCACUUAGGAAUCUGUUACAGUGAGCACAGAAGCAGACCUGUGGGCUCAUAGUCUUCACCCCCCACCCAUAUAUACAAGAUGAACAGAGUGGAGGUUAAACAACUUGACUAAACAACACAGUUCAUGGUAAAGCCCAAGACUGUACCUGCCCAUCCACUGCCUUUUCCAUGUAUCCUGGAACUGAGCAUAGACCUCUUCCCAGGCAGAGCUGACAGCAAGUAAAGGAGAUCAUAAUCAGGGGACCAAACAACUUUGUCUAAAGUGUGAAUGUCACCUAAGGAGAAGCUGUGAGAUCAGAAGGGUGGGGCAGAGGAGCAGACACCAUGAGGGAGAGUCCUUGGGGGUACAUCUGCCAGACUGACACUGUCUGGCCUGGGCAGUGGAGGGGCUAGCAGGAACCACAGGUACUGGUGGUGUGGCUACUACCGUUACAACUGCCUGUGCUUGGACAUGGACCCUCUGCAAUAUGCGGCAGUUUCAUUCAUUGCCCCCUACAUUCUACACCAAGUAGAAAUGGAAGGCAAUUGGAUACUUCACAGACAAGAUCUAAGUGGAGAAGGAAUGCGUCCUGUGGCUGCAGAGAUCCUUGGAGCUUGGAGGGGAGAGCUUGAGCCCCACUGAUGAUGACCUCCCACAGCUCGCCAACUCAGCCCUCCCUAAGUCCCCAUCGGGGGCCAAUUCUCACUCUGGGGUUGGGGGGACUCCACCAUAGCUCAUCCAUCAUAGGGAUGUUGGUAUCUACUGUGGGUUGGGUAGGGCCGAUGUGCUGAGGAUGGCUCCCCCACAAGCAAGAGAUGUGGAUUUGGGGAGCUUCCCAUCUUGUGUUGAAGGAACAUAACUCAGAAUAAUAAGAGCCAACUAUAACAAACCCACAGCCAACAUCAUACUGAAUGGGCAAAAGCUGCAGGCAUUCCCCUUGAAAAGUGGCACAGGAUAAGGAAGCCCUUUCUCACCACUCCUAUUCAAUAUAGUGUUGAAAGUCCUGAUCACAGCAGUCAGGCAACAGAAAUAAUAAAGGGCAUCCAAAUAGGAAGAGAGGAAGUCAAACUAUCCUUGUUUGCAGACAGUAUGAUUCUAUAUCUAGAAAACCCCAUAGCCUCAGCCCAAAAGGUCCUUCAUCUGAUAAUUUCAGCAAAGUUUCAGGAGACAAAAUCAGUGUACAAAAAUCACUAACAUUCCUAUACACAGUCGCCAAGCCAAGAGCCAAAUCAGGAGCACAAUCCCAUUCAUAAUUGCCACAAAAAAGAAUAAAAUACCCAGGAAUGCAGCUAACCAAGGAAGUAAAGGAUCUCUACAAUGAGAAUCACAAACGCUGCUCAAAGAAAUCAGAGAUGACACAAACAAAUGGAAAAACUUUCCAUGCUCAUGGCUAGGAAGAAUCAAUAUCAUUAAAGUGGCCAUACUACCCAAAGCAAUUUAUAGAUUCAAUGCUAUUCCUAUCAAACUAUCAAUUACAUUUUUCACAGAACUAGAAAAAACUUAAAAUUCAUAUGGAACCAAAAAGCCUGAGUAGUCAAGGCAAUCCUAAACAAAAAGAACAAAGGUGGAGGCAUCACAUUACCUAACUUCAAACUACAGGGCUACCAUGACCAAAACAGCAUGGUACUGGUACAAAAGCAGACACACAGACCAGUGGGACAGAAUAGAGAGCCCAAAAAUAAGGCCACAAACCUACAGCCAUCUGAUCUUCAACAAAGUUGACAAAAACAAGCAAUGGGGAAAGGUCUCCCUAUUCAAUAAAUGGUGCUGGGAUAACUGGCUGGCCAUAUGCAGAAGAUCGUAACUGGACCCCUUUUACUAUGUACAAAAAUUAAGAUGGUUUAAAGAGUUAAAACCCAAAAUUAUAAAAAUCCUGAAGAUAACUUAGGCAAUACCAUUCUGGACAUAGGAACUGGCAAAUAUUUCAUGAUGAAGACACCAAAAGCAAUUGUAACAAAAGCAAAAAUGGACAAAUUGGAUUUAAGAGCUUUUUCAUAGCAAAAUAAACAACAGGGCAGACAAUCUACCAAAUGACAGAAAAUUUUUGCAAACUAUGCAUCUGACAAGGGGCUAAUAUCUAGCAUCUAUAAGGAAUUUAAACACAGUUACAGGAAAAAAAAAACCCACUCCAUUAAAAAAUGGGCAAAGGACAUGAACAGACACUUUUCAAAAAAGACAUACAUACAGCCAACUAGCGUGUUAAAGAAAACCUCAAUUAUCACUGAUCAUUAGAGAAAUGCAAAAUCAAAACCAUGAUGAGAUAUCAUCUGCCAGUCAGGAUGGCUACAAAAAAGUAAAAAAAUAAUAGAUGUUGGUGAGGUUAUGGAGAAAAGGAACUUAUACACUUGUUAGGAGUGUAAAUUAGUUCAAUCACUGUGGACAGCAGUGUGGUGAUUCCUCAGAGAGCUAAAAACAACUACCAUUUGACUCACCAAUCCCAUUACUGGAUAUUUACCUAAAGGAAUAUAAAUCAUUCCACCAUAAAGACACAUGCAAGUGUAUGUUCAUUGCAGCACUAUUAACAGUAACAAAGCUGGGCACAGUGGCUCACCUCACGACUGUAAUCCCAGCACUUUGGGAGGCUGAGGUAGGCGGAUCACCUGAGGUCGGCAGUUUGAGACCAGCCUGACCAACAUGGAGAGACCCCAUCUCUACUAAAAAUACAAAAUUAGCCAGGUGUGGUGGCUCAUGCCUGUAAUCCCAGCUACUUGGGAGGCCAAGGCAGGAGAAUUGCUUGAACCCAGGAGGCAGAGGUUGCAGUGAGCCGAGAUCACAC